rnacentral:rRNA from 1 species
GUGGUAAUGCCGGAUGCUCCAGUCCAUCGCAUGGUGGUCUGGGAAAGAUUCCAUCGGUAUGGGAUGGGGUCGCGUCCUAUCAGCUUGAUGGCGGGGUAACGGCCCACCAUGGCUUCGACGGGUAGCCGGCCUGAGAGGGCGACCGGCCACAUUGGGACUGAGAUACGGCCCAGACUCCUACGGGAGGCAGCAGUGGGGAAUAUUGCACAAUGGGCGCAAGCCUGAUGCAGCGACGCCGCGUGCGGGAUGGAGGCCUUCGGGUUGUAAACCGCUUUUGAUCGGGAGCAAGCCCUUCGGGGUGAGUGUACCCUUCGAAUAAGCACCGGCUAACUACGUGCCAGCAGCCGCGGUAAUACGUAGGGUGCAAGCGUUAUCCGGAAUUAUUGGGCGUAAAGGGCUCGUAGGCGGUUCGUCGCGUCCGGUGUGAAAGCCCAUCGCUUAACGGUGGGUCUGCGCCGGGUACGGGCGGGCUGGAGUGCGGUAGGGGAGACUGGAAUUCCCGGUGUAACGGUGGAAUGUGUAGAUAUCGGGAAAGAACACCA